ensembl:snRNA U1 U1 spliceosomal RNA
AUAUUUACCUGGCAGGGGAGAUACCAUGAUCACGAAGGUGGUUUUCCCAGGGCAAGACUUAUCCAUUGCACUCCAGAUGUGCUGACUCCAGUGAUUUCCCCAAAUGCGGGAAAACAGAAAUCAAGCUGAGC